UACGUAGGGGGCAAGCGUUGUCCGGAAUCAUUGGGCGUAAAGCGCGUGUAGGCGGCCCGAUAAGUCCGCUGUGAAAGUCCAGGGCUCAACCCUGGAAUGCCGGUGGAUACUGUCGGGCUCGAGUCCGGAAGAGGCGAGUGGAAUUCCUGGUGUAGCGGUGAAAUGCGCAGAUAUCAGGAAGAACACCCGUGGCGAAGGCGGCUCUCUGGGACGGUACUGACGCUGAGACGCGAAAGCGUGGGGAGCGAACAGG
rnacentral:rRNA from 1 species